GACGAACGCUGGCGGCGUGCCUAAUACAUGCAAGUUGAGCGAUGAAGAUUGGUGCUUGCACCAAUUUGAAGAGCAGCGAACGGGUGAGUAACGCGUGGGGAAUCUGCCUUUGAGCGGGGGACAACAUUUGGAAACGAAUGCUAAUACCGCAUAACAACUUUAAACAUAAGUUUUAAGUUUGAAAGAUGCAAUUGCAUCACUCAAAGAUGAUCCCGCGUUGUAUUAGCUAGUUGGUGAGGUAAAGGCUCACCAAGGCGAUGAUACAUAGCCGACCUGAGAGGGUGAUCGGCCACAUUGGGACUGAGACACGGCCCAAACUCCUACAGGAGGCAGCAGUAGGGAAUCUUCGGCAAUGGACGAAAGUCUGACCGAGCAACGCCGCGUGAGUGAAGAAGGUUGUCGGAUCGUAAAACUCUGUUGGUAGAGAAGAACGUUGGUGAGAGUGGAAAGCUCAUCAAGUGACGGUAACUACCCAGAAAGGGACGGCUAACUACGUG
rnacentral:rRNA from 1 species